UCCUGUCAGGACCCAACCUGAGAGCCUCACCUCCAGUCUAAUUUUUCCAGGAGACACCGUUGGUGAUUCAUUCAGCAAAUUUUCAUUGUGCACUAGGCCACAGAUGUCAUUUGAGAAGAAAAGGAAGUCUGGGAGACCAGCUUCACUCAUGACCAUGUUUAGCAAAUUUGUCCCCCAGAGAAACUGAGGAAACUGAUGGACAGAUAAGAUCUCACCAGGCUGGACUGAAAAUGGAAAUAAUUGUUAUCGGUCUUCCAAGCGCUGGGAUUAAAGAUGUACACCACCAUGCCUGGCUACAGUACACAUUUUGCGUGUAAUGGAUGAGUUUUGACAACUGUAUAUGGGUAAUCUGACUUGAGGCAGAGCGUUAAGUUCUCUUGAGAGAUCAUCGUGCAGGUCUGGGGGUUUAACAGCGAAGUCUUGGUUCGGA